GACGAACGCUGGCGGCGUGCCUAAUACAUGCCAGUUGAGCGCUGAAGGUUGGUACUUGUACCAACUGGAUGAGCAGCGAACGGGUGAGUAACGCGUGGGGAAUCUGCCUUUGAGCGGGGGACAACAUUUGGAAACGAAUGCUAAUACCGCAUAAAAACUUUAAACACAAGUUUUAAGUUUGAAAGAUGCAAUUGCAUCACUCAAAGAUGAUCCCGCGUUGUAUUAGCUAGUUGGUGAGGUAAGGCUCACCAAGGCGAUGAUACAUAGCCGACCUGAGAGGGUGAUCGGCCACAUUGGGACUGAGACACGGCCCAAACUCCUACGGGAGGCAGCAGUAGGGAAUCUUCGGCAAUGGACGAAAGUCUGACCGAGCAACGCCGCGUGAGUGAAGAAGGUUUUCGGAUCGUAAAACUCUGUUGGUAGAGAAGAACGUUGGUGAGAGUGGAAAGCUCAUCAAGUGACGGUAACUACCCAGAAAGGGACGGCUAACUACGUG
rnacentral:rRNA from 1 species